rnacentral:rRNA from 1 species
GUGGGGAAUCUUGCGCAAUGGGCGAAAGCCUGACGCAGCCAUGCCGCGUGAAUGAUGAAGGUCUUAGGAUUGUAAAAUUCUUUCACCGGGGACGAUAAUGACGGUACCCGGAGAAGAAGCUCCGGCUAACUUCGUGCCAGCAGCCGCGGUAAUACGAAGGGGGCUAGCGUUGCUCGGAAUUACUGGGCGUAACGGGCGCGUAGGCGGACAGCUUAGUCAGAGGUGAAAGCCCAGGGCUCAACCUUGGAAUUGCCUUUGAUACUGGCUGUCUUGAGUUUGGGAGAGGUGAGUGGAACUCCGAGUGUAGAGGUGAAAUUCGUAGAUAUUCGGAAGAACACCAGUGGCGAAGGCGACUCACUGGCCCAAUACUGACGCUGAGGCGCGAAAGCGUGGGGAGCAAACAGGAUUAGAAACCCUGGUAGUCC